UACGGAGGGUGCAAGCGUUAUCCGGAUUUACUGGGUUUAAAGGGUGUGUAGGCGGACUUUUAAGUCAGCGGUGAAAUCUCCGGGCUCAACCCGGAAACUGCCAUUGAUACUAUUGGUCUUGAAUGUUGUUGAGGUGGGCGGAACGGGUCAGUGGUAGCGGUGAAAUGCAUAGAUAUGACCCGGAACACCGAUUGCGGAAGG
rnacentral:rRNA from 1 species